CUUUCUCUAUUGUGAGCUCACUGGACGCCAGGUCCCAGAACUUAGAACUGAGUCUGCUCCUUCUGACAAACAUCUCCCCAUUUCCCUGUCCCUUGCUUGUUUGUAACAGAGUCUCACACCAGAGCCUUGUGGGACCCUGCAUCUGCUCCUAUUCUAGAGAACAGAAAUGGGCAGGGCUCAGGGACAGGAACACUUAAGGGACACGUAAAGGAAAAGACAAAGAUCUGCUUGUCUUCCUCAGUGACUGAGAUCACGGGAACUGGAGGUUCCCAGAGGACACAAUUUACAAACUGGGAAAGGAUGCUGCUGCCUGGCUAGUCCCAAAUUUAUAGUGCUUCGGACAAUGAUGCCAUGUGCUAUGUUCUAUAGAAGAAAUCUGUGGAUUCAUUUAAAGAAGCUGCUGGCUCCAUCCUGUGCUUCAUGGUUCGUUCCGUGAUACUUUCUUCCUGACCAUCUCUUCCGUCAGCUGUGUUAAGCCUUCCAGAUGCUUCCAGUGCCCAAGCUAUGGCACUGCAGUCCCUGCAGGACUCCGACCUCGAAAAGCAGCAAAGGGUUUCCCUCUUUUACAAAUCCAGAAACACAUUCAUUAAUCUUCCCUAAGAGCCUCAGUGUGGAAAAGCUUUACUCCAAAUUGCAACAGCCUUAUUAUCUUCAAAAAAAAAAAAAUCUAGUAAUAAAUGUAGUAUCAAAAAUAGAAGCACAAAGCUCCCAGUCUCAGUUUCAGAACAGACACCACAAGCAUUUUAGUGUAUGCUCUUACAGAAUAUGCAUUCGUGUGUAUGAAACAGAGCCAGAAUCUUUAUGUAACAGCAUGUUGAAAUCUACUAUCUGGAUAUCUGCUGUGUAAUAAGACUUCGGUUUGUACAUCAACAGCCAACAUGCCAGGGAUGUUGAACACUAAGCCAGCAUGACGAAAUGCGUUAAGGGCUGGUAGCAACAAGACAACUCUGCCAAACAGCUUCACCUUGUUGUGUGUGAUUCUCUCUAUUCAAAUCCAAGAGAAGGUUCUAAUGGUACUAAACCAGUUUACUCUAUGUCUCCUUCAAGGGCCAGUUAGUUAAUACACA
rnacentral:lncRNA from 1 species